GACGAACGCUGGCGGCGUGCUUAACACAUGCAAGUCGAACGAAGUGGCGAACGGGUGAGUAACGCGUAAUCAACCUGCCCUUCAGAGGGGGAAAACAGUUGGAAACGACUGCUAAUACCGCAUACUGAAGGAGGGGAUUGCGCCUGAUUAGCUAGUUGGCGGGGUAACGGCCCACCAAGGCGAUGAUCAGUAGCCGGUUUGAGAUGAUGACCGGCCAAAUUGAGACUGAUCAACGGCCCAGACUCCUACGGUAGGCAGCAGUUGGGAAUCAUCCGCAAUGGACGAAAGUCUGACUGAGCAACGCCGCGUGAGUGAUGAGGGCCUGCGGGUUGUAAAGCUCUGUUUAUCGGGACGCGGUACCGGAAUAGAAAGCCACGGCUAACUACGUGCCAGCAGCCGCGUUAAUUC
rnacentral:rRNA from 1 species